rnacentral:rRNA from 1 species
GAUGAACGCUGGCGGCGUGCCUAAUACAUGCAAGUCGAACGCAUUGUGGUUGAAAUGAUAUGAAGAACUUGUUCAGAUUUGAUUUUCAACAUUGCAAUGAGUGGCGAACGGGUGAGUAACACGUGGGAAACCUACCUCUUAGCAGGGGAUAAACAUUUGGAAACAAAUGCUAAUAACCGUAUAAUAAUUAAAAACCGCAUGGUUUUAGUUUAAAAGAUGGUCUUGCUAUCACUAAGAGAUGGUCCCGCGGUGUAUUAGUUAGUUGGUGAGGUAAUGGCUCACCAAGACAAUGAUACAUAGCCGAGUUGAGAGACUGACCGGCCACAAUGGGACUGAGACACGGCCCAUACUCCUACGGGAGGCAGCAGU